rnacentral:rRNA from 1 species
CUAGCCGUAAACGAUGGAUACUAGGCGUUGUGAGUAUCGACCCUCACAGUGUCGUAGCUAACGCGUUAAGUAUCCCGCCUGGGGAGUACGCGCGCAAGCGUGAAACUCAAAGGAAUUGACGGGGGCCCGCACAAGCGGUGGAGUAUGUGGUUUAAUUCGAUGCAACGCGAAGAACCUUACCAGGACUUGACAUGUCGCGAAUCUCAGGGAAACUUGAGAGUGCCUUCGGGAGCGCAAACACAGGUGGUGC